rnacentral:rRNA from 1 species
UACGAAGGGUGCAAGCGUUACUCGGAAUUACUGGGCGUAAAGCGUGCGUAGGUGGUUUGUUAAGUCUGUCGUGAAAGCCCCGGGCUCAACCUGGGAAUGGCGAUGGAUACUGGCAGGCUAGAGUGCGGUAGAGGAGAGUGGAAUUCCCGGUGUAGCAGUGAAAUGCGUAGAGAUCGGGAGGAACAUCAGUUGCGAAGGCGGCUCUCUGGACCAGCACUGACACUGAGGCACGAAAGCGUGGGGAGCAAACAGG